ACCCAGACUCCUACGGAGGCAGCAGUGGGGAAUAUUGCACAAUGGGGGAAACCCUGAUGCAGCGACGCCGCGUGAGUGAAGAAGUAAUUCGUUAUGUAAAGCUCUAUCAGCAGGGGAGAAAAUGACGGUACCUGACUAAGAAGCCCCGGCUAACUACGUGCCAGCAGCCGCGGUAAUACGUAGGGGGCAAGCGUUAUCCGGAAUCACUGGGUGUAAAGGGAGCGUAGACGGCUGUGCAAGCCUGAAGUGAAAGGCGGGGGCCCAACCCCUGGACUGCUUUGGGAACUGUACGGCUGGAGUGCAGGAGAGGUAAGUGGAAUUCCUAGUGUAGCGGUGAAAUGCGUAGAUAUCAGGAGGAACAUCGGUGGCGUAAGCGCUUUACUGGGCCGUAAUUGACGCUGAGGAACGAAAGCCAGGGUAGCAAAUGGGAUUAGAUACCCGAGUA
rnacentral:rRNA from 1 species